rnacentral:tRNA from 1 species
GUGCCUGUAGCUCAGCCGGAUAGAGUGUUGGGCUACGAACCAAAAGGACAGGGGUUCGAAUCCCUUCAGGCACGCCA